rnacentral:rRNA from 1 species
CCUACGGGAGGCUGCAGUGGGGAAUAUUGGGCAAUGGGCGCAAGCCUGACCCAGCAACGCCGCGUGAAGGAAGAAGGCUUUCGGGUUGUAAACUUCUUUUCUCAGGGACGAAGAAAGUGACGGUACCUCAUGAAUAAGCCACGGCUAACUACGUGCCAGCAGCCGCGGUAAUACGUAGGUGGCAAGCGUUAUCCGGAUUUACUGGGUGUAAAGGGCGUGUAGGCGGGAAAGCAAGUCAGAUGUGAAAACCGUGGGCUCAACCCUUGGCCUGCAUUUGAAACUGUUUUUCUUGAGUGCUGGAGAGGCAAUCGGAAUUCCGAGUGUAGCGGUGAAAUGCGUAGAUAUUAGGAGGAACACCAGUGGCGAAGGCGGAUUGCUGGACAGUAACUGACGCUGAGGCGCGAAAGCGUGGGGAGCAAACAGGAUUAGAUACCCGGGUAGUC